rnacentral:rRNA from 1 species
UACGUAGGGGGCAAGCGUUUGUCCGGAAUCAUUGGGCGUAAAGCGCGUGUAGGCGGCUCGGUAAGUCCGCUCUGAAAGUCCAGGGCUCAACCCUGGGAUGCGGGUGGAUACUGCCGGGCUCGAGUCCGGAAGAGGCGAGUGGAAUUCCCGGUGUAGCGGUGGAAAUGCGCAGAUAUCGGGAGGAACACCAAUGGCGAAGGCAGCUCGCUGGGACGUGACUGACGCUGAGACGCGAAACGUGGGGAGCAAACAGG